UACGGAGGGUGCGAGCGUUGUCCGGAUUUAUUGGGUUUAAAGGGUGCGUAGGUGGCCCUGUAAGUCAGUGGUGAAAUACAGCCGCUUAACGGUUGAGGUGCCAUUGAUACUGCAGGGCUUGAAACAAGUGGAGGCUGCCGGAAUGGAUGGUGUAGCGGUGAAAUGCAUAGAUAUCAUCCAGAACACCGAUUGCGAAGGCAGGUGGCUACGUUUGAUUUGACACUGAGGCACGAAAGCGUGGGGAUCAAACAGG
rnacentral:rRNA from 1 species